CCAUGGACUCUGGAAAAUUUCUAAUCCCUGAAUGAGAUAGGUCCAAUUGAGUUAACAACCCAAGAGAGCCCAUGGAGUGUGGUAAUUCUUCAAGAUAUGAAUAAGAUAGGUCCAACUGAGUUAACGACUCAAGAGAGUCCAUGGAUUCAGGUAAUUUAUCAAUCUCUGAAUGAGAUAGGUCUAGCUGAGUUAACGACUUAAGUGAGCCCAUGGAUUCAGGAAGUUGAGCAAGUCGUGGACACCAUGAGGCACAUAAAAUCUCCAUCUUCAUCAAAUCACCCUUUGAUAUUGGAAUCUCUCGUAUAGCUGUGUCAUUUAUGAGAAGCUCCCUCAAUUGUUCCAUUCUACCUAUUCCUAUCGGUAGUUCCUCCAGUCUCCUACAACCGUUGACAUUAAAAGAGAUAAGGGACUUGAUGUGCAUGAUGGAAUGAUGAAUCGUUUCCAGAUUCUCACAUUCUUCAAGAAUCAAAAUCUCCAAGCUUUCGAAAGCAGACAAGUCAGAAGUGCUUCUCAAAGAAAGACAACCCGUAAGGUUGAGAACUUUGAGCUGGGUUGCCAUCUGAAGAAAAAAAAGAGAUACCUCAAUGAGAUUUUCCACUACUCUUUGUUCUUUUAGACUUUUUAAAAUUCCUCAGAAAAACCCACGCUCCACUACUCCUUAUCUUAUGCUACCAUUGCUAUGAUGCUCCACUACUUCACAUUUGUUUUAUUUAAAUGUUUCUUAAGUAGUAGUGUUUGGCUAUGUCACCGACACAUAAAUGUCUAUCACAAAAAGAAUGUUACGGACAUAAAAGUGCCCUCUAGCACUCACAAAAAUAACAUAUAGUUCACCCUCACAAAAUUAAUUAUAAAGCAAUGCACUUAUUUUGAAGUAGCGUUAACUUUUGUUUCUAAUAUAAAUUAUUCUAACUAUUCAAAUAGUAUUUCAUGUAAAAAGCAGUUAGAGCAUUUGUGUGAUAGUAACCAAAUGAUAGGUAAAUAGUCGUAACUUUUCAUUUCCCAUUAAAGAAGAUAGAUAUAGAUAUAUAACAAGAAUCGUUAAAAAUUCAUACUUUUACCUGGGAGAAAUUAGCCUAGAAGCCAAAAACAAUUUAGAUAAAAAAAAAAUCACGAUAGGCAAAAUACUGUAAUUAUAUUUUUAAUAGAUGUUAAUUAAUAUAGUUUAAGAAGUUCUUUUUAGUAUGUCCAAUAUUAAGCAUGACUGGUUGUUAAGGUAUUAUCAAUUUAAGAUGUUAAGGUGCACAAGCUUCUGGUAUAUUUAGAUGCCUAUAAGCUCCCCUUGUAUUUAGAGGAAGAUUCUUAAUUUGAGCAAGAAUAUUAAACCUUUCUGAAUGAAAGAAAGGAGAACUUGGUGCGAUUGGGACUUCAACAAAAUGUGAUUAUUAACAAGAGAUAUGUCCUUUCUUCAUCUUACCUUCAGUGGAUUCCAUCCUUCCCAAUCAUCUGAAAUAUCACUCCACGAUAGAUUGAGCACGACUAAUUUUUUUGGAUGAAAAUUAGCUGCUUCGAAAUUCGAGAGACAACGCUCCCAAUGAAGCCAUCUUAGUUGAGGAAGUAAAUUUUGAAAAUCUCCAAUGAAAUUCACAUCACACACUUGAAGGUACCUCAAGUGGGCUAGUUCUUUAAAUUGUUCACCUGUGUAGCUUCUUUUGUAGCCAUAUUCGUCAAGACGAAGGGCCUCAAUCUUACAAGUGCCCUACAAUUAGGAAACAUAGGAGACCGUAAGAUUUGAAUGAUGACAUGAGACCAACUGCAUAUAAGAAAAGAUAUACUAUUUCAUUUACUGAUAUACUAUUAUAGUGCAGGCUUCUCCCUUUCAACUUUGCGAAGCGGUAGAUUUUGAUUGCGUAAUUAAAUAUCUCAUAUGUAUAAAAAUGUAAGGCUAAGGAGGGUGUUUCGUGACUUAUUCUCUUCCAAUUAUGCCCUUCACAAUUUACACAUUUUGAAUUUCCAAAAAAAAUAAAAAUAGAAUAGAAUGUCUCUCUCCAUGCACACACCACUCCAAAUAUAUCUAUUAAAAUUCAUGUCCUUUAUAUGCGAAACAAUGCAACUCUAACUCAUAUCCUUAAUACGCAAAACAAGACGACCCUUACAAUGCAAAUAUAUCUAUCAAACUUGCCAUCAAGGCAUCCAUCAAAAUUAGAGAAUCCCCAUGGUAAUAGCUAAGUGAAACAAGAAUGUCAUCCAAAAAGUACGCACAUGUUUACAUUCCUUUUUUGUCAUGUUUUUCCUCUAUGAGUGAUUUUCAUUGUACUUGAAGGAAAAACCAAUCAUCGAUCAAACAUUAUAUAAUUAAUUUUUACUCCUCUUUUCGUCACUGCAGAUGGUUGAUGUUCUCUUCUCAUGCGUUGUGAAAUAGCAGUCAUUGAUAUGUUUGAUCAAUUUGCCCAUAGAUUGAUGAGAUCUUGCUAAUAGACACAUUGGCUAAGAAGAUCGACUAAAUUGGAUGUUUAAAGAGCUCAAUUGUUAUGUUUGGAGGAUACAAUUUCUCCUUCAAACUUGUAUUCUUUCAGAUGAGACGCUACUUACUUUUCCUUCAAAAGUUCCUUGUAAAUUUAUAGUGUUUUUUCAAUAACUUCAUAGAUAACUUUCUUUUAGUUCUAAUCAAUGUUCUAUAUUGUUGAUUAGAUUUCCAUUUGUGCAAAAAUUUGCUUGCUGAAAAGCAUCGAUAUAAUAUUUUUCAGUAAUAUUGCUACUUCAUUAUAUUUUGCAUCUCAAUGUUUAUAUGUGGUACUUGUCAAUUAAAGAUGCUCUUGACAUUUGCGCGUGCUUGUGUGAUGCUUGAACAAAUCAUCCAUAUGUCAUAAGUGCUUUUAGUUACGUCCAUAUUAACUUUAACACUAAUAAUGAAAACUCGUCGUCAUAUAAAAUUCAAAACAUUUUUUUUUUUUACAUGACAACAAAAGUUAAAUUUAAAAAUAUUUGAGUGAGCCAUUGCUUUGAAUUUAUCCACGUCUUAUUGAUAUAUGCAGAUUAAUCUCAUUAACAAAAUUUGAUCCNNNNNNNNNNNNNNNNNNNNNNNNNNNNNNNNNNNNNNNNNNNNNNNNNNNNNNNNNNNNNNNNNNNNNNNNNNNNNNNNNNNNNNNNNNNNNNNNNNNNGAGUAAUUUAUGAGAUGAUGGACCAACAUUCUCACAUAUAUCUCAAUUAAAAAAAUUACAUUGGCUUAAAUUUAAGUAUUACAGGUGAUAAGAGCUAUCUCUAACUGUGUAUAUAAUCAUAUUCUAAUAUAACGUUGUUAAUAAUUGUUAUUAUAUGAAUACAUGGUCCUCAAACUUAUGUGAUAAUCAUUUAAAAAAAAUAGAAAAAUCGAAAGUAUUCUUAUCCUGAAUUUGAUUGUUGAAUUGAAAAUUAUAUUGUAAUAUAUUAUGUUAAUAUUACUUUGAUGUCGGCAGAUGGUUGUAAAUUUGUUUUCUAUUUUUCUCACUAUUGUUCUCUCAUAAAUUUAUAAAACCAUUGUAAAUGUAAGGUUACCCGAUCACUAAAAUAUAAACUCCGAUGAUUCUCCAUAAAAGAAAUUUGUGUAUACAUGUUUAGUAAAUAUGUUGUUAAAAAUUUUAGUUGUGAUAAUUCUUCGACAUUGAAAGGUUCGUCAUAUUGAAGAUGUAUGUUUUUUUAAUAUAUGUUCUAAAAGUAAAUUACAAAUUAUUAUCGAGACCAUAUCAUUGCAAAUGUAUAGUCUUGCAAAAAUAUAAUAUAAUGUGGUAGAUAAAUCGAUAAUUUCGCCACUAAAUAUUCUUGUGUAACUUUUUACAGAAAUCAUGACCUGGAAAUUAAUUUUUAGAUAUAUCUUUAUACACAUAGACAACAUAAUAACAAUUCUUCCAUUAAAUUUUCGUGAUCAUGAAUAUUUCUAGGGAAGUUUUCAUUAUUCUUCUAAGACGAAGUCAUUUAGUUUUGUGGUCUUGGUCAAAGUUAUGAUGAUUUUUCUACUACCGAUUUAUUUAUAUUAACAAUGAUUGUCCUACGUGAUACUGUUAACAUCAACGUCAGUAAUUUCUAAUGAAAUUGAUAUAUUAUUAAAAAAAUUAUUGUUAAAUUGAUCAAAUUAAAAUGUUUAUAAUUAAAAUUUUAUUUUGAUAAUUUUUUACCGAUAUUACAUUAUAUUUUCUUUGUCAUGUCAAAUCCGUUUGUUUAGUAUUAGUUGGCGUUGGAGCUUGCUCUCUUUCUUUGCCGUGGGCCCCAUUUCAUUUUAUUAUUGGGGGUGACAAAUCCAAGCGAUCCCUCUUUCUCUCCCUUCACUCUCUCUCCUCCGAGAACAGCAGAGUCUCUCACCUACCACCACAUCAUCAUUAUCAGGCCGACAUACUCUCUUUUUAUUUUUUAUUUUUUUUCCAUCAUAAGGCCGAUAUACCUUUUCACGCGCCCAAUUUCUUUCAAGUUUCUUCUUCGUGCUCGUCACAUGGCUCUGACUAUGUAGACGACAUCCGUUGACCUAUUUUUUAACUUUUGGAUAAAUAAAAUAAGAUUCUCUACCGAAAUGUUCCUGAAGAAUCACCUCUCAUGAUAACACGUGAGAUUCUGGAUAAUUAGAAAAAUCUCCUUUGCAAACGUUGGAUUUGCUUCAUUCUCCAAAAAAAUGGUCCACAUGAGCGCUUCCCCGUCAUAUAUGUACUAUUCACCAUGGAGUAUUUAUUUUCAUUUCUUCGCCUUAAUGACUUGGUUUAUAUUGUCAUUAAUUAUAUUUGACCUCUCACAUUUUCUCGAAACCGUGCCUGUGUUAAAAAGCAAAAAAUUGUGCAAAUUUUUUACAACCUUAUUUCCUUAUUGAUAACUAUUAGGAGAUGAGCACAGGACAGUUGGCGUAGUUUGAAUGUCAAACCAAACCAACUGUAUAAGUAAAAUUUGACGAAAAAUGAAACCAAUUAAAUCGUAUCAUAGUCAAGAAUUAACCAAGCCAAACCAUUUUUUGGGGAUUGAUUCGGUUUAGUUGUUGUUUCUUCUUUCAUCUUUUUCUCUUUACCUAUUGUAACUUCAUUGAAAAAAAAAAAAAAACAAAUUCUAUACUCACAACAAGUCAUAAAUUUCACACAAAAUAAAAAUCAAACCUAUUUCGAUAGGCUACUUCACAUAUAAAUGGCAGAAUUAAUUGACAAAACAAAUAAUUUAUACAAUAAGAUUUUGCAAUUUGAUUUGGUUUCCCAAAAGUUGAAACCAAACCAAACCUCAAAAAAUCGAGAUAUGACUUGAGGAAAUUAAAAUUGACUUAGCUGACCAAAAGAUUCUUUACGAGUUUUGAAGUAUUUAGAGUUAAUAUGGAGAUCAUAAGAUUGGACUAGACAUCAACAACAAUGGUAAUACAUAGCUUCCAAACUAGAGAGAAAUGGCUUUGUUAGAAAAUUUUCGAAACAUUUGCUUCCGAAUCGUGAACAGGACAUGCUGUGGCGACAAGUCGAGGAUUAUUAUUAGGAAGUUCUUGCUCAGAGCACCAGUUAGCCAACCCACACCUAAUAAGUGGAUUUAUUGAUUGUGCACCAUAUGAAAAAAAAGAAAAAGAAAAAGUGCUUUGAAAAUGACAAAAAAUUUACACGUGGAUGUCUAACUUAAUCAAUAAGGGCCAUUCGUCGAUAAAAUCCUUUUCACAAAAAUAUACACUUUAAAUAUUUGAAUUUGACCCCAUUUUUCAUAAAAAGCAAAUAUGCAACUUCAGAGUAGAUGCAACUUUCAAAUUAUAGUCAAUAAAGUUAAUGGCUUUAAAAAUAGGGUUAAUAUUAUGAAGAAUCUCAAACUGGCUCACAUAUAACAAAUUUACCCUAAGCCAAAAACUUCAAACUAGCAUAUUUGUGAUAAAUUUAUUCUAAACAAAUUUUUUUACCACCAAAAACCUCAAAUUGAUAUAUCUAUGAUAAAUUUAUCCAAAAUUAAUUUUUUGACUGCUAAAAACUCAAAAUUGAUACAUUUAUGAUAUGAAAAAUCACAAGUAGUAAACAUGUGAUAAAACGGAGAGUAAAACCCUAAAUUAGCACACCCGUCAAUUGCAAGUAUCAUUUAACUCAGCAAUUUAAUAGUAAAUCUAAUAUAAACUAACGAAUGGUAAAUUUGUGACAAUCAUACCAGUUUAGGGUUUUUUGUGGUUAAAAAAUUAGUUUAAGAUAAAUUUAUAACGAGUAUAUUAAUUUAAUUUUUUUUUUUAUGAAUGUAUGAUAUUGACUUUCUCUUUAUCUGUGAACCAUUGGUACGGGCUUUGCGUAAACUCAACCUCAAUUUCAUUCACCAACCACCUGAAAAAUAUUAUGCUCAGUUGAAGCAACAGAACUGGUGCCGCAAUAACAGUACAUACACAGNNNNNNNNNNNNNNNNNNNNNNNNNNNNNNNNNNNNNNNNNNNNNNNNNNNNNNNNNNNNNNNNNNNNNNNNNNNNNNNNNNNNNNNNNNNNNNNNNNNNNNNNNNNNNNNNNNNNNNNNNNNNNNNNNNNNNNNNNNNNNNNNNNNNNNNNNNNNNNNNNNNNNNNNNNNNNNNNNGUUCUGUUAUGUGGGUUCCACGAAUGUCCAAGAUCCUCAAAUUCUGCAGUUUCUCAAUGCUUUGAGGUAAUUCCACAAUUGAUGUAGAUUUCAAGUCUAGCUCAGUCAAUGAUACCAACUUUCCGAUUGAGUCGGGAAUCUCUUUCAACAAGAGACAUCCUCGUAAUAACAAGCGUUGUAGAGACACCAGGGAGUCUAUGGAGUCUGGAAGUUGAGCAAGUUUAUGGCAUUUCCUUAGGUCAAGGAGAGACAAAAAUGUUAGAUUGCCUAUGGAGCUGUGUAUGUGGGCCAACAAUGCACAAUUAAAGGCAUUGAGGGUUUCGAGCUUCUUCAAAGAACCAAUUGGUUUGGGUAAUUCUUCAAUCCCUGAAUAAGACAAGUCCAACUGAAUCAAUGACACGAGGGAGCCCAUGGACUCUGGAAAUUUUCUAAUCCCUGAAUGAGAUAGGUCCAAUUGAGUUAACAACCCAAGAGAGCCCAUGGAGUGUGGUAAUAGAUAUGAAUAAGAUAGGUCCAACUGAGUUAACGACUCAAGAGAGUCCAUGGAUUCAGGUAAUUUAUCAAUCUCUGAAUGAGAUAGGUCUAGCUGAGUUAACAACUUAAGUGAGCCUAUGGAUUCAGGAAGUUGAGCAAGUUGUGGACACCAUGAGGCACAUAAAAUCUCCAGCUUCAUCAAAUCACCUUUUGAUAUUGGAAUCUCUCGUAUAGCCGUAUCAUUUAUGAGAAGCUCCCUCAAUUGUUCCAUUCUACCUAUUCCUAUCGGUAGUUCCUCCAAUCUCCUACAACCGUUGACAUUCAAAGAGAUAAGGGACUUGAUGAGCAUGAUAGAAUGAUGAAUCAUUUCUAGAUUCUCACAUUCUUCAAGAAUCAAAAUCUCCAAGCUUUCGAAAGCAGACAAGUCAGGAGUGCUUCUUAAAGAAAGACAACCAGUAAGGUUGAGAACUUUGAGCUGGGUUGCCAUCUGAAGAAAGAAAGAGAUAGCUCAAUGAGAUUUUCCACUACUCUUUGUUCUUUUAGACUUUUUAAAUUUCCUCGGAAAAACCCACGCUCCACUACCCCUUAUCUUAUGCUACCAUUGCUAUGAUGCUCCACUACUUCACAUUUGUUUUAUUUAAAUGUUUCUUAAGUAGUAGUGUUUGGCUAUGUCACCAACACAUAAAUGUCUAUUACAAAAACAAUGUUACCGACAUAAAAGUGCCCUCUAGUACUCACAAAAAUAACAUAUAGUUCACCCUCAUAAAAGUGCCCUCUACAAAUGCUCUAACUACUUUUUACAUGAAAUACUAUUUGAAUAGUUAGAAUAAUUUAUAUUAGAAACAAAAGUUAACGAUAGGUAAAUAGUUGUAAC
rnacentral:lncRNA from 1 species